rnacentral:rRNA from 1 species
UGGGGAAUAUUGGACAAUGGGCGAAAGCCUGAUCCAGCGACGCCGCGUGUCGGAAGGAGUCCUUCGGGAUGUAAACGACUUUUGGUGGAGACGAAUAAGCAGCUCAGGGAAUGGGGCUGUGAUGACGGUAUCCAUGGAAUAAGCCCCGGCUAACUACGUGCCAGCAGCCGCGGUAAUACGUAGGGGGCAAGCGUUGUCCGGAAUGAUUGGGCGUAAAGCGCGCGCAGGCGGUCCUUUAAGUCUGAUGUGAAAGCCCGCAGCUUAACUGCGGAGGGUCAUUGGAAACUGGGGGACUUGAGGCUAGGAGAGGGAAGUGGAAUUCCUGGUGUAGCGGUGAAAUGCGCAGAUAUCCGGAGGAACACCAGUGGCGAAGGCGGCCUCCUGGGCCAUUCCUGACACUCAGACGCGAAAGCUAGGGUAGCAAACGG